UACAGAGGUCCCAAGCGUUGUUCGGAUUCACUGGGCGUAAAGGGUGCGUAGGUGGUCGGGUAAGUCUGAUGUGAAAAUCUUCGAGCUCAACUCGAAAAAUGGCAUUUGGAUACUAUUCGGCUGGAGGGUUGGAAGGGGGACUGGAAUUCUCGGUGUAGCAGUGAAAUGCGUAGAUAUCAGAGGAACACCGGUGGCGAAGGCGAGUCCCUGGACAAUUCCUGACACUGAGGCACGAAAGCUAGGGGAGCAAACGG
rnacentral:rRNA from 1 species